rnacentral:rRNA from 1 species
UGGGGGAUAUUGCACAAUGGGCGCAAGCCUGAUGCAGCCAUGCCGCGUGUGUGAAGAAGGCCUUCGGGUUGUAAAGCACUUUCAGCGAGGAGGAAGGUGGUGAGCUUAAUACGCUCAUCAAUUGACGUUACUCGCAGAAGAAGCACCGGCUAACUCCGUGCCAGCAGCCGCGGUAAUACGGAGGGUGCAAGCGUUAAUCGGAAUUACUGGGCGUAAAGCGCACGCAGGCGGUUUGUUAAGUCAGAUGUGAAAUCCCCGGGCUCAACCUGGGAACUGCAUUUGAAACUGGCAAGCUAGAGUCUCGUAGAGGGGGGUAGAAUUCCAGGUGUAGCGGUGAAAUGCGUAGAGAUCUGGAGGAAUACCGGUGGCGAAGGCGGCCCCCUGGACGAAGACUGACGCUCAGGUGCGAAAGCGUGGGGCAGCAAACAGGAUUAGAUACCCUGGUAGUCCAGCGCUGUAAACGAUGUCGAUUUGGAGGUUGUGCCCUUGAGGCGUAGCUUCCGGAGCUAACGCGUUAAAUCGACCGCCUGGGGAGUACGGCCGCAAGGUUAAAACUCAAAUGAAUUGACGGGGUCAUAGCUG